UUGCUUUGGCACCACACAUACUAAAAUUGAAAUGAUACAGAGAAUAUUAGCAUGGCCCCGGUGCAAGAAUGACAAGCAAAUUCAUGAAGCAUUUCAUAUUUUU